AUGUUCAGUGCCCUGCCCAGACAGGUGCAGUUCAUGUAGAACCAGUGUACUGUGCCACAGUUGGGUAGAGCAAGGCUCA
rnacentral:pre_miRNA from 1 species